AGAAUGAACGCUGGCGGCGUGCUUAACACAUGCAAGUCGCACGAGAACGCUUCAGCUUGCUGAAGUUAGUAAAGUGGCGCACGGGUGAGUAACGCGUGGGUAAUCUCCCCCCGAAUUGGGGAUAACAUCGCGAAAGCGAUGCUAAUACCGGAUAAUAUCUUAAAAACCUCGGUUUUAAAGAUCAAAGGUGGCCUCUACAUGUAAGCUUCUGUUUGGGGAUGAGCCCGCGUACCAUUAGCUUGUUGGUAGGGUAAUGGCCUACCAAGGCUGCGAUGGUUAGCUGGUCUGAGAGGAUGAUCAGCCACACUGGAACUGACACACGGUCCAGACUCCUACGGGAGGCAGCAGUGAGGAAUUUUGCGCAAUGGGGGAAACCCUGACGCAGCAACGCCGCGUGAGUGAUGAAGGCUUUCGGGUCGUAAAGCUCUGUCAAGUGGGAAGAACCCACAUGGUGAUAAUACCGCCAUGUGUUGACGGUACCACUGAAGGAAGCACCGGCUAACUCCGUGCCAGCAGCCGCGGUAAUACGGGGGGUGCAAGCGUUAUUCGGAAUUACUGGGCGUAAAGAGCGCGUAGGCGGUCUCGUAAGUCGGGUGUGAAAGCCCGGGGCUCAACCCCGGAAGUGCACUCGAAACUAUGGGACUUGAGUAUGGGAGAGGGAAGUGGAAUUCCUGGUGUAGCGGUGAAAUGCGUAGAUAUCAGGAGGAACAUCGGUGGCGAAGGCGACUUCCUGGACCAAUACUGACGCUGAGGCGCGAAGGCGUGGGGAGCAAACAGGAUUAGAUACCCUGGUAGUCCACGCAGUAAACGGUGAUCACUAGGUGUAGCGGGUAUUGACCCCUGCUGUGCCGCAGCAAACGCAUUAAGUGAUCCGCCUGGGGAGUACGACCGCAAGGUUA
rnacentral:rRNA from 1 species